CUAAGCCAGUGGGAGGGCCCAGGCCUGAAUCCUGUCAGACAUUUUGUUGCUGUGAAGGGGAACAUUAGAUUAUAAGAAGGGGCAGGAGAUAUAGGGAGACAUCACAAGGAGUUUGGAUUCUCUGUUCCAGUACAUUCUGCUGACAGAACAACAGGCCUCUGAGAUGAACCGACACCUACGAGAGGUGAAAUCAGAAAUUCACAGGUGUCAGGAAGAAGCAAGAAGUCUCACAGGGAGGCUUGAAGAGGCAAAGGCAACGCUGGAGACCAAGAAGAAACAGAACAACGGGCAGAAGACUGGGCAGGUUCUACACAGGGCAAGGAGACUCUGGAAUAAUCUCUGUGAUGGGGAAGGGCA